CCUUGUCUGCAGAGUUUUGUUCACAAAAGUCAGCUUUCACCGACAAAACAGUGGAGGUGUACACACUACAUAGCUUUCGCCGUUGACAAAAGUCUCUUCCUUUGCGGAUAUAAUAAAACCACCUCAGGGAGAGGUGUAGAGCUUUUUGUGGGAAAGUUAGAUAGACAAAGUGUCAGUGUAGACACUGUGCUUGGUUAUGUUGCUGUAAAUGACCUCCAGGAGAUGUGCCACAAUGCCAAUCCUGACCGCUCUGGUCAGCAGUUCGAACUCCGCUGCGCUGCACCCAGGUCACAAGCAUCCGCCCCAUCCCUUUUAAAGGACAGGAAAUUUUUGAAAUUCCACUUUGUUUCCUUGGUGUGGAGGGCUCAUUCCCACAUUUUCCCACGGCAACUCCACACAGCAAAUGCUCUCCCAUUUGGAGCUCACCUGAGUUGUUGGAUCUGCUCGCUCUGUGGGGAGUGGAGGCUGUGCAGUUCCAACUCCGCUCCAGCAGUAGGAACUUCAGUACCUAUGGUCAGAUUUCUCGUGGCAUGUUGGAUAAGGGCUAUGAACGGGACACGCAUCAGUGCCGUGCGAAGAUAAAGGAGCUGAGGCAGGCAUACCAGAAGACAAGGGAGUCAAACCGUAGCUCUGAUGCUGCAUCAAAGACCUGCCACUUCUAUAAGGAGCUGGAUGCCAUCCUUAGUGGCAACUCCACCUCCACUGCCAAGAGCCCCAGGGAUACUUCAGGAGGGUUGGAGACAGUGGACAGCAGACUCAACCCCAAGGACAAAGUGGUGGACGAGGAAGUGGAGUUGAAGGACAAGAUGGGACAGGUGACAGGGUCGUCCAGUACCGAGGCGAGCCAGGACGUCUUCUUGACCCUGGACGGUUCGAGCCAGUCCUAGCAAUCCAUCUCUGGUGUGCAUGAUUCAGGAGAGGGGAGCUCAGAUGUGGCCUUCAGGGAAACCCCCUACACACUGGUGGAGCUUGUCUGCCACAUAAGGAAGUGACCGAGGUGGAACAAGGAGGACGUGUUUCGGGAGGUGCCCCAAUCCUCUGAUGAGGCGAAA